rnacentral:rRNA from 1 species
GAUGAACGCUGGCGGCGUGCCUAAUACAUGCAAGUCGAGCGAACAGACGAGGAGCUUGCUCCUCUGACGUUAGCGGCGGACGGGUGAGUAACACGUGGAUAACCUACCUAUAAGACUGGGAUAACUUCGGGAAACCGGAGCUAAUACCGGAUAAUAUAUUGAACCGCAUGGUUCAAUAGUGAAAGACGGUUUUGCUGUCACUUAUAGAUGGAUCCGCGCCGCAUUAGCUAGUUGGUAAGGUAACGGCUUACCAAGGCAACGAUGCGUAGCCGACCUGAGAGGGUGUCCGGCCACACUGGAACGGGGACAGGGUCCAGACUCCUACGGGAGGCAGCAGUAGGGAAUCUUCCGCAAUGGGCGAAAGCCUGGCGGAGCAACGCCGCGUGAGUGAUGAGGGUCUUCGGAUCGUAAAACUCUGUUAUUAGGGAAGAACAAAUGUGUAAGUAACUAUGCACGUCUUGACGGUACCUAAUCAGAAAGCCACGGCUAACUACGUG